UCUUGUUGUAGAGCAUAGGCUCUAAGGCAUGUGGGCUUCAGUAGUUGUCACGUGGGCUCAACAGUUGUGACCCAUGGGCUUGGUUGCCCUAAGGUAUGAGGGAUCUUCCUGGACCAGGGGUCCAACGCAUGUCCCCUACAUUAGCAGUCAGAUUCUUGACCAGUAGACAACCAGGGAAGUCCCUGAUAGUUUUCUUUAAAAAUUAAAAAAAAAAAAAAAAAAACUUUUUUUAAUGUGGGUUGUAUCUAUCACAUUGAUUUCUCAAUCCAUUAGUGAAUAGAAAUCCAGUUUGAAAAACACUGCUCUAAAAUGAACUGACAGCAAGAUGCAAAUUAUAUUUAAAACUGUAAAGCUUGAGACCACAAAAAAUACGAAAAAUAUGGGGUAGUUUUGAGAUGAAUCCAUCUAAAUCUAGGGAAACAGGCUAGUUUUCAGACUCCCAGUGGAAAUAUGUGGUGUAAGCAAUCCUUGUUUGUCCAAGUUUUUACAUUGGAAUUCAUAAAAUACUUUUCAGUAGAUGUCCUAUUGAGUCUAUGUAGGUUGUUAAACAAAGGUUCUAUGGCUCAGUGAAUGAGUGUACCAUAUCUUUUUCUCCUGGGGAUGCAGAGCAAAUGUAACGAAUUAAGAUCUUAAUCUAGUGUGUCUGAAAACUUAGACAUUGAUCCUUCUCUGUGUGACACUUGUGGAACUCUUUUGUGGAAUACAGUUUGGCAACUGCCGGAGAAGCGACGUAGAGUUCUUGGAAUCACAUGCUUCAGAUGUGCAUCCAGUACCCCAUCUCCCCAUUGCACCCCCCACCCCCAUGCCCCUACCAAGCACCCAAGUUUGUGUGUGCUUCCUUAAGGGCAUGUGGUGAUCAUAGUCUGUGGUAUCACUUACAGUUUUCUUUAUCUGUCAUAGGUGUUCAUAGUAGAAAAAUAAGCUGCUGAUAAAAGGUAAAGAAUAAGAGUUCUGCAAACUCACCACCCAGAAAGAAACAGUAACACUACAGAACAGAGACUGGAGUGAUGCUCCUGCAAGCCUAGGAAGCCUGGAGCUACCAGAGCGGGAAGAGCCUUCAGAGGGAACCUGGCCCUGAUGACACCUUCACUUCAGACUUCUGGCUCCAAAACUGAGAGAAUCAAUUUCUGCUGUUUAAUCAUCCAUCAAAUCUUUGGUAGUUAGAGCAGUCUCAGAGCACUAAUAUGGGAUCCAGUAAAAAGUACACAUUGCCGUUGGUUAUUCUCUCUCUUGAGUCUUUUUCAUUCAGUAGUAAUCCCUUUCCUUGUGCUAUUAGUUAUUAGAGAAAUUGAGUAUUUCUGUGGAAAAUUCCACUUCUAUCUAGAUUUGGCUUAUAGCGCCUUGGUGGUAUUUAACGGUUUCCUCUGUCUCUUGUAUUUCAUAUCAACUGGUAGGCUUGAUCUAGAGGCUUGAUCAGCUUCAGGGUGAAUUUAUUUCGCAAGGGUCCUUCAUUAUUUGUCUUACUGUCUUGUAUCACAUGCAUCCAUUUACUGGUGCUAAGGUCUCUAAUUCAGGCUAUAAGAGUGGCCUAUUCAUCUUUCUCCUCUUGGUCUUAAGUUU